GAGGUCCUAUGCUUAUUGGAAGCCUGCUUAAGCGUGGUUUCUAUACGUGCACCAACUUUGACAACCAUGGUUUGGUAGUUUUACCUCAAAAACUAGUAGAUGGUUACACAAAAUAGGGAGCCAGAAUAAUAAAAAACAGAAACAUGAUGGACUGCCCUCACCUCCAGGAAGGCCUUGUGGAAGGCUUCCGAGACGUAGAGCUCAGCCUCCUCCUCCAGGAUACCUGAAGGAGUUCAGACGGGAUUCAGCUCAACUGCAGUCACACAGCAAGGGGUUUAGCGACGAUAUUACGCACAAGUAAUAGAUUCUACAUUACAGCUGGAGGUUUAGGGUGGUGUAGGCAAGGUGUAGUUUAGGGUGGUGAGGUAUAUUACAGAUGUAGUUUAGGGUGGUGAGGUAUAUUACAGGUGUAGUUUAGGGUGGUGAGGUAUAUUACAGGUGUAGUUUAGGGUGGUGAGGUAUAUUACAGGUGUAGUUUAGGGUGGUGAGGUAUAUUACAGGUGUAGUUUAGGGUGGUGAGGUAUAUUACAGGUGUAGUUUAGGGUGGUGAGGUAUAUUACAGGUGUAGUUUAGGGUGGUGAGGUAUAUUACAGGUGUAGUUUAGGGUGGUG